UACGGAGGGUGCAAGCGUUAAUCGGAAUUACUGGGCGUAAAGCGUGCGCAGGCGGUUUGUUAAGUCUGUUGUGAAAUCCCCGAGCUCAACCUGGGAAUGGCGAUGGAUACUGGACAGCUAGAGUGUGUCAGAGGAUGGUGGAAUUCCCGGUGUAGCGGUGAAAUGCGUAGAGAUCGGGAGGAACAUCAGUGGCGAAGGCGGCCAUCUGGGACAACACUGACGCUGAAGCACGAAAGCGUGGGGAGCAAACAGG
rnacentral:rRNA from 1 species